rnacentral:rRNA from 1 species
GAUGAACGCUAGCGGGAGGCCUAACACAUGCAAGCCGAGCGGUAUAGAAUCUUCGGAUUUUAGAGAGCGGCGUACGGGUGCGGAACACGUGUGCAACCUACCUUUAUCUGGAGGAUAGCCUUUCGAAAGGAAGAUUAAUACUCCAUAAUAUAUUGAUUGGCAUCAAUUAAUAUUGAAAGCUCCGGCGGAUAGAGAUGGGCACGCGCAAGAUUAGUUAGUUGGUGAGGUGACGGCUCACCAAGACGAUGAUCUUUAGGGGGCCUGAGAGGUGAUCCCCACACUGGUACUGAGACACGGACCAGACUCCUACGGGAGGCAGCAGUGAGGAAUAUUGGACAAUGGGUGCAAGCCUGAUCCAGCCAUCCCGCGUGAAGGACGACUGCCCUAUGGGUUGUAAACUUCUUUUGUAUAGGGAAGAAAAGGCACGUCCUAAUACGGCGUGUUC